rnacentral:rRNA from 1 species
AACGAACGCUGGCGGCAGGCUUAACACAUGCAAGUCGAACGAGAUCUUCGGAUCUAGUGGCAGACGGGUGAGGAACACGUGGGAACAUCCCUUUCAGUUCGGAAUAACGUUGGGAAACUAACGCUAAUACCGGAUACGUCCUUCGGGAGAAAGAUUUAUCGCUGAAAGAUUGGCCCGCGUCUGAUUAGCUAGUUGGUGAGGUAAUGGCUCACCAAGGCUACGAUCAGUAGCUGAUCUGAGAGGAUGAUCAGCCACAUUGGGACUGAGACACGGCCCAAACUCCUGCGUGAGGCAGCAGUGGGGAAUAUUGGACAAUGUGCGCAAGCCUGAUCCAGCCAUGCCGCGUGAGUGAUGACGGCCUUCGGGUUGUAAAGCUCUUUUGUCCGGGAAGAUAAUGACUGUACCGGAAGAAUAAGCCCCGGCAAACUUCGUGCCAGCCGCCGCAGUAA